GAUGAACGCUGGCGGCGUGCCUAAUACAUGCAAGUCGAGCGAACAGACGAGGAGCUUGCUCCUCUGACGUUAGCGGCGGACGGGUGAGUAACACGUGGAUAACCUACCUAUCAGACUGGGAUAACUUCGGGAAACCGGAGCUAAUACCGGAUAAUAUAUUGAACCGCAUGGUUCAAUAGUGAAAGACGGUUUUGCUGUCACUUAUAGAUGGAUCCGCGCCGCAUUAGCUAGUUGGUAAGGUAACGGCUUACCAAGGCAACGAUGCGUAGCCGACCUGAGAGGGGGAUCGGCCACACUGGAACUGAGACACGGUCCAGACUCCUACGGGAGGCAGCAGUAGGGAAGCUUCCGCAAUGGGCGAAAGCCUGACGGAGCAACGCCGCGUGAGUGAUGAAGGUCUUCGGAUCGUAAAACUCUGUUAUUAGGGAAGAACAAAUGUGUAAGUAACUAUGCACGUCUUGACGGUACCUAAUCAGAAAGCCACGGCUAACUACGUG
rnacentral:rRNA from 1 species